rnacentral:tRNA from 1 species
GCCUGGGUGGCUUAAUGGUGAAGCGUCUGCCUUCAGCUCAGGGCAUGAUCCUGGAGUUCUGGGAUCGAAUCCCACAUCGGGCU